rnacentral:rRNA from 1 species
GAUGAACGCUGGCGGCGUGCCUAAUACAUGCAAGUCGAACGCACAGCGAAAGGUGCUUGCACCUUUCAAGUGAGUGGCGAACGGGUGAGUAACACGUGGACAACCUGCCUCAAGGCUGGGGAUAACAUUUGGAAACAGAUGCUAAUACCGAAUAAAACUUAGUGUCGCAUGACACAAAGUUAAAAGGCGCUUCGGCGUCACCUAGAGAUGGAUCCGCGGUGCAUUAGUUAGUUGGUGGGGUAAAGGCCUACCAAGACAAUGAUGCGUAGCCGAGUUGAGAGACUGAUCGGCCACAUUGGGACGUAGACAGCGACAUAACUACUACGGGAGGCUGCAGUAGGGAAUGGGCCGCAGUGGGCGAAAGCCUGAUGGAGCAACGGCGCGUGUGUGAUGAAGGCGUUCGGGUCGGGAAGAAGUGUUGUAUGGGAAGAACAGCUAGAAUAGGAGAUGAAUUUAGUGUGACGGUACCAGACAAGAAAGCAACGGCUAAAUACGUG